rnacentral:rRNA from 1 species
AUUGAACGCUGGCGGCAGGCCUAACACAUGCAAGUCGAGCGGUAGAGAGGUGCUUGCACCUCUUGAGAGCGGCGGACGGGUGAGUAAUGCCUAGGAAUCUGCCUGGUAGUGGGGGAUAACGCUCGGAAACGGACGCUGAUACCGCAUACGUCCUACGGGAGAAAGCAGGGGACCUUCGGGCCUUGCGCUAUCAGAUGAGCCUAGGUCGGAUUAGCUAGUUGGUGAGGUAAUGGCUCACCAAGGCGACGAUCCGUAACUGGUCUGAGAGGAGGAUCAGUCAGACUGGAACUGAGACACGGUCCAGACUCCUACGGGAGGCAGCAGUGGGGAAUAUUGGACAAUGGGCGAAAGCCUGAUCCAGCCAUGCCGCGUGUGUGAAGAAGGUCUUCGGAUUGUAAAGCACUUUAAGUUGGGAGGAAGGGUCGUUACCUAAUACGUGACGAUUUUGACGUUACCGACAGAAUAAGCACCGGCUAACUCUGUGCCAGCCGCCGCAGUAAUAC